rnacentral:rRNA from 1 species
UACGUAGGGUGCAAGCGUUAAUCGGAAUUACUGGGCGUAAAGCGUGCGUAGGCGGUUGUGCAAGACAGGUGUGAAAUCCCCGGGCUUAACCUGGGAACUGCACUUGUGACUGCACAGCUGGAGUACGGCAGAGGGGGGUGGAAUUCCACGUGUAGCAGUGAAAUGCGUAGAGAUGUGGAGGAACACCGAUGGCGAAGGCAGCCCCCUGGGCUAACACUGACGCUCAUGCACGAAAGCGUGGGGAGCAAACAGG